rnacentral:rRNA from 1 species
AAUCAACGCUGGCGGCGUGCCUAACACAUGCAAGUCGAACGCGAAAGGGGAGCAAUCCCUGAGUAGAGUGGCAAACGGGUGAGUAACACGUGGGUGACCUGCCUUCGAGUGGGGGAUAACGUCCCGAAGGGACGCUAAUACCGCAUGACAUCCUGCUCUUGGAAGAGCGGAGAUCAAAGCUGGGGAUCGCAAGACCUGGCGCUUGAAGAGGGGCCCGCGCCNGAUUAGCUAGUUGGUAGGGUAAUGGCCUACCAAGGCAACGAUCAGUAGCUGGUCUGAGAGGAUGAUCAGCCACAUUGGGACUGAGACACGGCCCAAACUCCUACGGGAGGCAGCAGUGGGGAAUAUUGGACAAUGGGCGCAAGCCUGAUCCAG